rnacentral:tRNA from 1 species
CAGGUUGUAGCUUAUAUUAUAAAGUAAUUUAUUUACAUUAAAUAGAAAUUUAUAUUUUCUUCCUGA